rnacentral:rRNA from 1 species
ACCGGAUAAGUCUUUACGGAGAAAGCUUUAUGCACCAUUGGAUGAGCCCGCACUUGAUUAGUUUGUUGGUGGGGUAAUGGCCUACCAAGACUGUGAUCAAUAGCUGAUUUGAGAGGAUGAUCAGCCACAUUGGGACUGAGACACGGCCCAAACUCCUACGGGAGGCAGCAGUGGGGAAUAUUGGACAAUGGGGGCAACCCUGAUCCAGCAAUGCCGCGUGUGUGAUGAAGGCCUUAGGGUUGUAAAGCACUUUCACUGGUGAAGAUGAUGACGGUAGCCAGAGAAGAAGCCCCGGCUAACUUCGUGCCAGCAGCCGCGGUAAUACGAAGGGGGCGAGCGUUGUUCGGAAUUACUGGGCGUAAAGGGCGCGUAGGCGGUCCUUUAAGUUAGGCGUGAAAGCCCCGGGCUCAAGCUGGGAACUGCGCUUAAGACUGGAGGACUAAAAAACGGAAGAGGGUAGUGGAAUUCCCAGUGUAGAGGUGAAAUUCGUAGAUAUUGGGAAGAACAACAGUGGCGAAAGGGCUACUGGUCGAUUUGACGUGAGGGCGAAGCGUGGGAGCAACGGAUAGUACCUGGUAUCACGCGUAACGAUG